GCCUCCUCCGAGAACAGGGGCGGUCCGGCCGGCGGGUGGCUUUCGGGUCGUCUCUCCCAGAGCGCGCCUUGCGCCCUGUUCCGUGUCCGGCCUUGGUCUCUGACUCAAAGUGUUGUUCCCUCAGCUUGAAGGAACUCUCCGGGAGGCCCGGAAGAUGCCGGGCGGGCCACAGGCUGCCGAGUCCCCGGGCCGUGUGGAUUAGAGCCAGGCUUGGGCUGUAUGGGGAAAGGCCACCAAGCCAAGUGUGAUCCAGGCCUGGAAGAGUGGCAGGAAAUGCUGAUGGAGUCUCCUCUGCAUAUCUCAGAGGGAGGGGAGAGGCACACAGUGGGCAACAUCAUUUACCAUAUGUUCAGCAACAUCCACAGCUCAGAAUCAACAAUGGGCAGAGGU
rnacentral:lncRNA from 1 species